rnacentral:tRNA from 1 species
GUGGGUAUAACUCAGUGCUAGAGUGCAUGCUUGGCACACAGGAGGUCCUGGGUUCGACCCCCAGUACUCCA